rnacentral:rRNA from 1 species
UGGUGGAGUGAUUUGUCUGCUUAAUUGCGAUAACGAACGAGACCUUAGCCUGCUAAAUAGCCCGUUCUGCCUUGGCAGUCCGCUGGCUUCUUAGAGGGACUAUCGGCUCAAGCCGAUGGAAGUUUGAGGCAAUAACA